rnacentral:lncRNA from 1 species
GAUCCCCAAGCAGUCAAGAUGUGAGGCCAUCCACAACGUCGUGCACGCCAUUAUUUUGCAACAGCAAAAACAAUUGGUACAAGGUACUUCAACCCAACCUCAGCAGCAGCAACAACAAGGUCAACAAGAACAUGGUCAGGGUUCUAGCCAGCCACAACACCAACAACAACAACAGCAACUGGAUCAGGGUUGGAUCGUGGCGAUAGGGACAUGGGUGAUUCAGACCGUUCCGGCAAUGUGCGACGUGCAUGUUCCACCAUACUGCUACACCACCAUAUCAUCAUCGAGUGACGUCACUACCGGAAUGGGCGGCUACUGAGAAGAUGAGAGCUCUAGUAUCCGAAAAAUGGACCACCAAUGUUUAGUCAAUGGUCCGAUCCAUAUGUAGCGGUGAAAAAUAAAGUGCCAUGCAUUAUCAUGUGUGGAC